CCUACGUGAGACAGCAGUGAGGAAUAUUGGUCAAUGGGCUUACGCCUGAACCAGCCAAGUCGCGUGAGGGACGACUGCCCUAUGUGUUGUAAACCUCUUUUGUCAGGGAGCAACGCCGGCUACGUGUAGCCGGACUGAGAGUACCUGAAGAAAAAGCAUCGGCUAACUCCGUGCCAGCAGCCGCGGUACUACGGAGGAUGCGAGCGUUAUCCGGAUUUAUUGGGUUUAAAGGGUGCGUAGGCGGAAUGCAAAGUCAGCGGUAAAAUCGCGGGGCUCAACCUCGCUCCGACGUUGAAACUGGCGUUCUUGAGUGGGCGAGAAGUAUGCUGAAUGCGUGGUGUAGCGGUGAAAUGCAUAGAUAUCACGCAGAACUCCGAUUGCGAAGGCAGCAUACCGGCGCCCAACUGACGCUGAAGCACGAAAGCGUGGGUAUCGAACAGGAUUAGAUACCCUAGUAGUC
rnacentral:rRNA from 1 species